GCCUUCUUAGCUUAGUUGGUAGAGCGUUCGCUUAGUAAGCGAAAGGUCACUGGUUCGACUCCGGUAGAAGGCU
rfam:Aedes albopictus isolate Foshan contig235533, whole genome shotgun sequence.